UGGCGCAUGCUAUACAUGCAGUCGAGCGGACAGAUGGGAGCUUGCUCCCUGAUGUUAGCGGCGGACGGGUGAGUAACACGUGGGUAACCUGCCUGUAAGACUGGGAUAACUCCGGGAAACCGGGGCUAAUACCGGAUGGUUGUUUGAACCGCAUGGUUCAAACAUAAAAGGUGGCUUCGGCUACCACUUACAGAUGGACCCGCGGCGCAUUAGCUAGUUGGUGAGGUAAUGGCUCACCAAGGCAACGAUGCGUAGCCGACCUGAGAGGGUGAUCGGCCACACUG
rnacentral:rRNA from 1 species